GGUGGGGUACCGAAGCGGUCAAACGGGACAGACUGUAAAUCUGUUGGCGCACGCCUUCGGAGGUUCGAAUCCUCCCCCCACCA
rnacentral:tRNA from 1 species